CUGCUGUGCAUUCUUUCUCAGAAGUGCAUGGAGUGGUGGGACACUCUGUCACACUGCCAUGUAUGUUUCCAGUGUCUACUAGAAAAUUCUAUUUGUGCUGGGGCCGAGGGACAUGUGGUUACAAUUCAUGUGGAGAAAGACUUAUUGCAACUGAUGGAUACAAUAUCCAAUAUCAGGCAAACAAUCGCUACCAGCUAAAGGGGAAGCUUCUUCAAGGAAAUGUGUCCUUGACAAUACUGCAGCUCACUGAGAGUGACAGCGGUCACUACUGCU
rnacentral:lncRNA from 1 species